rnacentral:lncRNA from 1 species
GACGCUUACUUCAUCAUUUCAAUUAAAUUCGAAUUUUACAUACAAAUACAUUUUAUUUGAAUCAUUGCAAAGAAAGACAAAUCCCUAUAUGCUGUGGUAUUUACCUGUGGCUAAAAAUUGUAUACAAGAAUAGACCUCGGAGAGACAUUUCCACAUACGAAAAACAUAUACAUAUAAAAAAAAAGUUGAAGGAAAGUGGGGUGAUGAUUAACCAACCAAUUGGAGCAUACCAUUGCGUUUGUUUAGGUCCAAAAACCCCCAAGGAAAGCUGCACAAUUUUUUUUCCUCCUUUGUUUUAACUGUUCAAAAACGAAAAAAAAUAAAAAUAGAACGAGACUUGUCUUCUUUCCUUAGUUUUCUGCUUCCGUAUUUUGUUUUCCUCCUCCUCGUUCUCUGUGCAUAUCUAGAAUAUACAUCCCACACUUCAAUGAGACUGCAUUAACGAACAAGCUACAGCCUGAGCCCAGUGUCUCAACUUGGUCUUUACAUGUUCAGGGUCGUCCCCU